rfam:Blumeria graminis f. sp. tritici 96224 unplaced genomic scaffold Scaffold-306, whole genome shotgun sequence.
GGCCGGGUGGUGUAGCGGUUAUCACACCAGCUUUACAGGUUGGUUCUCCUUCGAAAUCUAGACCAUGUGUCAUAGCUGUAUAGCUGCAAACACUGUCAAAGGUCUUGAGCGAGAGGGAAGUCGCCUCUGAUCGCUGUUGGUCGCGAGUUCGAUCCUCGCCCUGGUCA